rnacentral:rRNA from 1 species
AUUGAACGCUAGCGGGAUGCUUUACACAUGCAAGUCGAACGGAGUGGCGGACGGGUGUGUAAUAUAUCGGACCGCGCCCAGUAGCGGGGGAUAACUACUCGCAAGAGUGGCUAAUACCGCAUACUAUUGUAACGGCCGAUAUCGGAUUAGCUAGUUGGUGGGGUAAAGGUUCACAAAGGCAACGAUCCGUAGCUGGUUUGAGAGGACGACCAGCCACACUGGGACUGAGACACGGCCCAGACUCCUACGGGAGGCAGCAGUGGGGAAUAUUGGACAAUGGGGGAAACCCUGAUGCAGCCAUCCCGCGUGUAUGAAGAAGGCCUUCGGGUUGUAAAGUACUUUUGGCAGAGAAGCGGUAUCUGCAGAAUAAGCACCGGCUAACUACGUGCCAGCAGCCGCGGUAAUUC